rnacentral:rRNA from 1 species
GACGAACGCUGGCGGCGUGCUUAACACAUGCAAGUCGAGCGGUAAGGCCCUUUCGGGGGUACACGAGCGGCGAACGGGUGAGUAACACGUGGGUGACCUGCCUUUAGCUCUGGGAUAAGCCUGGGAAACUGGGUCUAAUACCGGAUAUGACUCCGCGGUGCAUGCUGUGGGGUGGAAAGCCUUGUGCGGCUGGAGAUGGGCCCGCGGCCUAUCAGCUUGUUGGUGGGGUGAUGGCCUACCAAGGCGACGACGGGUAGCCGGCCUGAGAGGGCGACCGGCCACACUGGGACUGAGACACGGCCCAGGCUCCUACGGGAGGCAGCAGUGGGGAAUCUUGCGCAAUGGGCGAAAGCCUGACGCAGCGACGCCGCGUGAGGGAUGACGGCC